UAUAACUUCGAGGCAUCACCUGACCUACCAUUGGAGGACACUGCAUGCUGUUGACAUCUUUGGACAAUGUGUUGCAUUAUCACCAUACCUCCCAUGAGCAAACAAGAUGUUAUUUCAAGAGAAUGACAAGGAACAAAGGCAACUAGAAUGAAAACAACUUGGCCAUGAGUUACAUGAAAAAUGCGCAAGUAGUCAAAUUCUUUCUUAGAUAAGGAGACCAAAACACAAUAUUCCAACUGAACUCUUAUUGGCUGCUGGUGCAGAGCAGGAUAAAAACAGGAACACAUCCACACAGUACAGGAGCAGGAUCAAGAAUAAAAUAUGUCCACACACAGUAGAAGAACCAUAGCAGGAAUAAUAAAAUACCACACUGUUCAGUCACACCAGAGUCCUAGUGCAGUAUCUAACAAUUCUUAGAUCACCUAUGCCAAUGAAAACUCUCAUUAAAGGUGUUCAAAUGAGUUAAACCCACACAACUUAUAUUAACUUGUACAAGUCUACAUACCACCCAUGAAAUGAGUAUGACCCUACUCCAGGAAGCAUGUCAGAGAAACAGGACCAAAAGAUUACAAGAUGGAAAAUGUAUUGCAAAAUAAACAGCUUUUUCUGAAGACAAGCAAUGUGUGGAUAAUACAGGACUGAAACUGCUUGUCAUCAACAGUGGAAACUGUUUUACAUGUAGUCUAAUAGCAUUUAGAGAUGAUGUCUUCUGCCUGCAAGAAUAUUCCAUUUUAUUUUGAGCUAGUGUUAAAACUACUUAGAAUUGAAAUAUCUUUUCCUGGCUAAAGUAUGUCAUCAACAGAAUCUGAUAAAUGACCAAUACUGUCAGGAAGCAGAAGUCACAAGAUGAUGCUGUCUGCUGGAUGAAGAAAAGAAGUUGAUGUUUGAAAUCUUUCUUUGUAUCAGUUUCCUCUCAGUCUUUGCAGAAAGAAGUUCUUUCAGCAUUUAGUGCUGAGGUAAUACAUUUUGCAAGAAGAGAAACUUCACAAUCAAUGGUCACAUAACUUAGAGUGAGGACUGUCUGUUGUCACAUGUGGCUAUGCACUCAGUUUUCAUUGCUUUUGUGAUGUAAUGAAUAAAGAUUUUGUUCAUUUUA